AUUCGAUUAGAGUUUGAUCAUGGCUCAGGAUGAACGCCGGCGGUGUGCCUAAUACAUGCAAGUCGAACGCGUUGGCCCAAUUGAUUGAUGAUGCUUGCACCUGAUUGAUUUUGGUUGCCAGCGAGUGGCGGACGGGUGAGUAACACGUAGGUAACCUGCCCAGAAGCGGGGGACAACAUUUGGAAACAGAUGCUAAUACCGCAUAACAGCGUUGUUCGCAUGAACAACGCUUAAAAGAUGGCUUCUCGCUAUCACUUCUGGAUGGACCUGCGGUGCAUUAGCUUGUUGGUGGGGUAACGGCCUACCAAGGCGAUGAUGCAUAGCCGAGUUGAGAGACUGAUCGGCCACAAUGGGACUGAGACACGGCCCAUACUCCUACGGGAGGCAGCAGUAGGGAAUCUUCCACAAUGGGCGCAAGCCUGAUGGAGCAACACCGCGUGAGUGGAGAAGGGUUUCGGCUCGUAAAGCUCUGUUGUUAAAGAAGAACACGUAUGAGAGUAACUGUUCAUACGUUGACGGUAUUUAACCAGAAAGUCACGGCUAACUACGUGCCAGCAGCCGCGGUAAUACGUAGGUGGCAAGCGUUAUCCGGAUUUAUUGGGCGUAAAGAGAGUGCAGGCGGUUUUCUAAGUCUGAUGUGAAAGCCCUCGGCUUAACCGGAGAAGUGCAUCGGAAACUGGAUAACUUGAGUGCAGAAGAGGGUAGUGGAACUCCAUGUGUAGCGGUGGAAUGCGUAGAUAUAUGGAAGAACACCAGUGGCGAAGGCGGCUACCUGGUCUGCAACUGACGCUGAGACUCGAAAGCAUGGGUAGCGAACAGGAUUAGAUACCCUGGUAGUCCAUGCCGUAAACGAUGAGUGCUAGGUGUUGGAGGGUUUCCGCCCUUCAGUGCCGGAGCUAACGCAUUAAGCACUCCGCCUGGGGAGUACGACCGCAAGGUUGAAACUCAAAGGAAUUGACGGGGGCCCGCACAAGCGGUGGAGCAUGUGGUUUAAUUCGAAGCUACGCGAAGAACCUUACCAGGUCUUGACAUCUUGCGCCAACCCUAGAGAUAGGGCGUUUCCUUCGGGAACGCAAUGACAGGUGGUGCAUGGUCGUCGUCAGCUCGUGUCGUGAGAUGUUGGGUUAAGUCCCGCAACGAGCGCAACCCUUGUUACUAGUUGCCAGCAUUAAGUUGGGCACUCUAGUGAGACUGCCGGUGACAAACCGGAGGAAGGUGGGGACGACGUCAGAUCAUCAUGCCCCUUAUGACCUGGGCUACACACGUGCUACAAUGGACGGUACAACGAGUCGCGAACUCGCGAGGGCAAGCAAAUCUCUUAAAACCGUUCUCAGUUCGGACUGCAGGCUGCAACUCGCCUGCACGAAGUCGGAAUCGCUAGUAAUCGCGGAUCAGCAUGCCGCGGUGAAUACGUUCCCGGGCCUUGUACACACCGCCCGUCACACCAUGAGAGUUUGUAACACCCAAAGUCGGUGGGGUAACCUUUUAGGAGCCAGCCGCCUAAGGUGGGACAGAUGAUUAGGGUGAAGUCGUAACAAGGUAGCCGUAA
rnacentral:rRNA from 1 species